ACCAAGCUGGUAUAAGCUGAAGUGAUGCCACUUCCUGGUUAAACCUCUAAAAUCUAUUCUGGGCUUAUCCAUUUUUCCCUGAGAUCUGAGAGAUGGUGUGGAUCAUACCGGUCACUGGAGAGUCUGGGACAGAAGUCUUAAGUUGAAUACGGCAAGGCAGCCGAUCAGCUCCAGGGCCCUUACCUUGGAAGUGAGACAUGAAAGAGAAACCUCAUUUAAGCUACUUUUUCUUCCUUGCAGCAUAUUAACCUACAGUCAAACACUAUGGUCUUUUCUAAGUUUUCAUCAUCAAUCAUGUUCCAAAUUAACACGCACAAAGAAGGACUGAAGAAUCCUAAUGAGGAUUCUUCCUCAUUAGAAGGUAGGGGAGGAGAAAGGAUUGGAAUAUUUACAGAUUCUUGGUUUUGUUUUUGUCACAUACACAGUUAACAUGUAGUUUUGUGCCAAUUUUGUUUUUUACUCACAGUUCCCCAAGUUACUGAAAAAAUACUUUUAGCACCUUUAUUCUGCAUGACAAAUUACUGCAGAAUAGUGGCAGUCACUGAAGAGAAGUUGACUUUUGUGGAAACGUCACUGAAGCAGUGAGAAGUUGUCUGCACAGAUCACUGCCAUUGUAUCCAGUCCCCAUAAUUGUGCCUAGUAUGGUAUUGGGGCUUGAUGAUUAUUUAUUGGACUAACGACUGAAGGUGCUGCACAACCUUUUGAAGAAAGAGCACACACGACCUCACCUAUCUCAGUAUGCCACUUCAAGGUGACGCAUCAUGUUCAUCACCAAAGGGCUCAUCAUGUCUAUAUCAAGAGGACCAUAAAAAUGCAAAAUGUAACAGCGUUUCUAAAGCAAUUAGCUUGGAACAAAGAAAAGUCAUUAUGAAAACACAGAUACUGUGCUUUGGGGGAAGAAUGCCAAGUCCUUGGUUCAG